rfam:Pseudogymnoascus pannorum VKM F-3557 contig_522, whole genome shotgun sequence.
GUUCCCAUAGCUCAGUGGUAGAGCGCGGCAUUUUGUCUAAAGCGCCGGUGCCUAUGGUUCGAAUCCAUAUGGGAGCG